GAUUAUGGCUCAGGACGAACGCUGGCGGCGUGCCUAACACAUGCAAGUCGAGCGAUGAAAUCCUUCGGGAUGGAUUAGCGGCGGACGGGUGAGUAACACGUGGGUAACCUGCCUUGUAGAGGGGGAUAGCCUUCCGAAAGGAAGAUUAAUACCGCAUAAUAUCUUUUUAUCGCAUGGUAGAAAGAUCAAAGGAGCAAUCCGCUACAAGAUGGACCCGCGGCGCAUUAGCUAGUUGGUGAGGUAACGGCUCACCAAGGCGACGAUGCGUAGCCGACCUGAGAGGGUGAUCGGCCACAUUGGAACUGAGACACGGUCCAGACUCCUACGGGAGGCAGCAGUGGGGAAUAUUGCGCAAGUACGGGGGAAACCCUGACGCAGCAACGCCGCGUGAAUGAAGAAGGCCUUAGGGUUGUAAAGUUCUGUUUACGGGGACGAUAAUGACGGUACCCGUGGAGGAAGCCACGGCUAACUACGUGCCAGCCGCCGC
rnacentral:rRNA from 1 species